UCUGGACAGGAUUACAAGAGGUUACGUAUAAAUAGGCUGACAAAUCCACUAGAUGCAUUCAAUUCGUUUGUCGCUUCCAAUCGGUGAAGAAAGCAGCUCCUACCUAUCAUCAUCAUGUUUAGAUUCUUGGUGAUUUGUGGUUGCUUGCUGGCGGUUGGACAAGCUGGCGUGAUCGGCGGUGGUUUGCUCGCAACCGCGCCCGCAGCGGUCGCGGUGCAGCCAGCGGCAGCAGCGGCUCUUCCUCUGUCCACUGCAGCAGCCCUUCCUCUGCCCACAGCCGCGCUCGCCGUACCAACUAUCGCAACAUCGACCUCUAACGUGAUACGGGGUAUCGGUAACUUAGGUGCCAUAUCGGCCUACGCAAAGAGCGUAGAUACGCCGUUCAGUAGCGUCAGGAAAGCGGACGUGCGCGUUAACAAUCCUGGAAUCGUGACGGCGACCGCUGUGCCCGCCCCGGUAGUUGCGGUCGCAAAUACCGCUCUUGCAGCUCCAGUGGCUACAGCAGCUGUUGCCGCUCCUGCGCUUCUCGCACCUGGACUGACCACCGCAAUCGGAGCCGCACCCGCUCUCACCGCAGGUUUAACUCCUCUGGGGCUUAACGGGCUUGGAGCUUUGCAGGGAUUAGGAGCCGUCAAGGUUCUUUAAGGUCCACACGCUCGAACCACUACGAAGCGGCGGAGGAUUCGACUAAAACAACGACCGAUUAUGAAACACGUUGAAACAUUCGUUUCGAUGGCGAAUCGUUUUUACUAUCUAAACGAUCAACUUUGUCACAGAAUGCCUAACGUAUUCGCGAAUCCAAGUCAGAUAAUAGCGAUUACUUCGUGGGAAUAGACCUGUGCCAAGUGGUAAUCAUAUAUCUGAACAUUGUUGUGUGAUUGCAAUAGAUUCUUCGAUUUAUGUACUAUGUGUAUUCUCGGUCAACAGAAGAUAUAGCGAACAUCUAGCAAGAUAUAACAGAAUCAACGCUAGCCGACAAUACCUAACAAAUAUGAAAUUAAAGGCGGAGGGGGAAGGAAAAUAUAAGGCGCAACUUGUUACGUUUCAAUACAUUUCGUAUUUAAUAAAUAGAAAGUAAAAGAAA